rnacentral:lncRNA from 1 species
AGGAGACAGAGUGAACAUGACUCUGAAAGCAAUUACGAUUUGGAGGAUGGCUCUAAUGAAAGAAGAUCGAGCUUGCGGCCGCGUACACGGCAGUUACAUUCCUACUCGAAUCAUCCAGACGACAGGGAGCUCACACCUGUAGAAUUGACAGGCAUUCGUUACGUUUAGGCAUACAGCACGUUAACUGCACCAAGUAAUGUGCCGACUCACUGCAUUUGGAAACUCUUGAGAUAGAGGAUGUUUGUCUUAUUAUUGAACUGUUAAUCUGAAACACAAUAUUAAAAUGACUGUUCUUCCAUUCUCAUCAUGGCACAUCGUAAGGCCGUUUAAAAGAAAGUGUAAAACAGAAAUCCUAAAAUUGUAACAGAAUUCCGCUUAAACAGGUGCUGUGUCGUGGGUGGUUUUGUACUUUCUUUGCCUCUCAUGAAUGGUGCAGCCUUAUGGUGACUCAGUUUCGUAAAAUCGUGCUACUUGUGGGCAAAAAAUGUUAACUCAAAAUCUAGGAUACGGAUAGCUUAUUUCAUUUCACAUUAUUUUUUGUUAUUUCCAGUCAUUAUGCAAAGCUAUUAACCAUUCUAUCAAACAGAAUUUUUGCUGUAUUUCAAUGAGUAUGAGUAUUCAUACUGCAUUUUUCUUGAAAAAGGCGCAUAAUUUGAAGGAAUUCUCUUAUUUGUUUGCGUAACCCCCGCCCCCGCGAGCACUAACACAGUAAAUUGCAAUUCGAUGCACACAAGACUGCAUAAUUAUGUGGACUGUAUGUAUAUAGACUCUGUGUAUAUAGAAAGGUAAAUGAAACAAAAUUCCAUAACUCUGCAAAAUAUUUUUCGUACUAACCAUGCACCAUGCACUAGUAAGGUUGUUUCUGAUCACUUGUGUGAAGUUUCAUUAAAGUGUGUGCAAUGGCUCUGGAGAUUAGGUGCGCUCAAGAUUGUAUAUUCAAACUCUAUGUAUAUAGCAAACUAGCAAAAACACGAAGUCCAAUAACUCAGCAGAUAAUUAUCUAAAAGAACGUAACAUUUGUGUCAAGGGGAUGAGGAGAGUCGGUGCGCACAAGAUUGUAUCUACAGACUGACAAGACAGACAAACGGAUGAACAGACAGAAAGCCUAUAUACCCCCUUUCAACUUUGUUGUCCGGGUGUUACAAUUAAGUGAUAAAUUUUUGCAUUACAGGACUGAAGAAGCAAAAACAAUUUUUUUUAAAGAAUUCUAUCAAAAUUCUGGACAUUCUAACAUUAUAAGAAAAGUAAGAAACAGUUUCGCAUAUCUUGCUAUCGAUCUCUAACUGACAGCUAAGUUUGUUUUUGCGAAAAAAUACCUUUUGAAGUAAACAACAUUUUUCAAGUAUGUAAUGCU